rnacentral:tRNA from 1 species
UGGCCCGUUGGUCAAGUGGUUAAGACACCGCCCUUUCACGGCGGUAACAUGGGUUCAAAUCCCGUACGGGUCA